rnacentral:lncRNA from 1 species
GCUUCCGCUUUGUUCCCGUGGCUUCUGGAGUCUUCUAGAAGAUAGAAAAUUGCGUGGCACGUUAAUAUCUCUAUGUAAACCCAACGUGUGGGCCUUUCUUCCGUAUUUCCUGAUAACCCCCUGCAGAAAUAGACAAACACCAAAACUCGUGGAAUUCUGUUAGAUAAAACCCUAAGUCUGGGUGUUUGUUGCAUUUGGAUGCUUUUCUUUAUUUAUUUGUUGAUUAUAUUUGGUACUUAAGGACCGUCAACAACUCCCCCAAGCUUACCUCUUGCUCUUCCCUGAGCAAAGAUGGACUCAAGAGUUUCUACAGUGAUUUUAUGCCUUAAAGGUACACAUGCGUUCAAACAAGAUCUCAUCUCUAGGUUAAGGUAAACUGUUAAGAUUUAAACUUACUCAUAUUACCUUCCACCAUGGGGCUUGCAACCGUCACUUGUGUCUUGAGCAGUUAAAAGAUAGAACGGUCAAGUCAAGCACCAUGUCUCUUGUUCUUUGAUCAACUAUAGCUCUGGGGUUUUUGUAGAUUUUCAAAUAAAACUCAGAGAUUCCUUGUAUGACUCUCUCUAGUCUCUCUUUUGUGGUAUUUCUGGAUCCUUACCAAGGCAGUGAUGGUGUAUGCCUUCUCUCAAAGUAUGUGGUAUUUUUGGUAUGAGGCAUAGUGACAUUGCCUUCUCUCUCAUCCUACUCUAAUAAGGUUUUGAUAUCUGGAGCUCAUAGGUGGGAGACAACUAAUACAUACUUACAAGACAUUUAUUGCAUAGUCAAACCAUGGAUCCAGAGGAACAAGUCAAUAAGUCAAUAUCAAGAUGUGCAUGUGUGGCGAAUGAACGGUGUAUGGUGAUAAUGGUGAAAGCAAUGGCGAAAGUCUAAUUCAACUUUUGCUCUUUUGAGGGGAUACAUACCUUUCUUGCUCUUUGAAACUUUUGAGGAGAAUGAGAUGCUCUAUAUUAUUAUUUAUUAUUUUUUUCUUUUCUCUCAGGUGGGUAUCUUGUACCCCUAAUUCUACUGUCGGACACUUGUCCAUUUUUACCUCCCGUCUCACUUUUUCUUUUCUUCGAGGUUCCGGGCACUUGCCCCUUUUUAUUUCCUCGUAUUUUUCUUUUUUUCUUCUUUUUUUAGAGCACUCACCCUCCUGGAAUAAUGUAGCAAGUGGUAGUAACCAAAAUAACUCGAGCAUUUAUUUCACGGGGAAUAACAGGGAUGUGAUAAUGUUUUUGGCUAUUCUCUCCUGGAUAGGAGUAGAAUAAUUUUGGGUGAAUCUAGAGAUGGAAAUGAGUGGAUGUAUGUGGAUGCGUACUUCCGGAGUAGAUGCAGCAUGUAUGAGUGAACGUGCAAGUGAAUCUUGAUUUUAACUGCAUGACAAGCUCCUAAGGGUCUACACAGUUUGACCACACUCAAUGCUCAUAAGUAGUAAAAAGUAAAUGUAUGGUUCAUAGUCUAAUAAGCAUGUAUAUGUGGCUGUGGUAGGAUUUUAAAAUCUCAUCAUACAGGAACUCAUCAUGCAACAUUUUUAAGAUUUUCAAAGAUAAAAUUCUCCAGAAUUCUAGCAUCUCUAGGAACAGAUAAACAGCAGCUCAACCUUCUCAUAUCGUAUCCAUUAACGACUUGGACUUUAGAUCAAGUACUCUUCCCACAAGUUUAGGUUUAGAGCAAAUCAUAAUUCAUAACAGUCAUGCCCAAACUUGAGAGAGAGCUCAAAUUUGAAAACUAGGUAAUUGGCAGAGCAACUAUUCAUCAUAUCCAUGUGAGAGCUUAUCAUGAGGGUCCAUAGCAAACUUUAUUUAUUUAUUUAUUUAGCAAACUAAGCAAAGGUAUAUAUAAGCACAAAAUCUUUAUUUGGGUUUUUAUGAUUAUGCAUCUUUUUAUUAUUUGAGUAAAGUAUAAACGCGAGUAGAAACACUUAGCUGGAUAGAUGGGGGUGCUCUCCCCUAAGCUGGAUUUUGACAUAAUUUCUUCUGAUGUAGCUAGCAGGUGGCAGAGGUGUAUUUGAAUGUCGGCAGCACCCUGACAGCAAUUAGGAUGUCCUCCAUCUACUAGUCUUCUUUGAUCCUUGAAUUCUGUGGAGCUCAAAUAGACAACAAAGCUUUGUGGAACUAGUUAAGUAUUAGCAUAAAUAUCUAGCCUUUAUCAUGUUGAGCCUCCUCAAUAAAUGUUACUCUCCUUGGUAGGAUCAUAAAUUUAUUUUUAUAUUUUCAUUUCUAUAGGACAGUAAUAUAUUUAUUUUAUUUUUACGCCACCACAGUGAAUGUACUUAUGGGUUUUAUGCCAUGAGCAUACUCACAUGGGGCUUACUAUUUUUAACAUUUUUAUUUUCUUUUCAAGAUAGCAUGAUUAACUGACAAGCUAUUAAGGAAAGUCAAUAAUUUGAGGGAAAAGGGAAUGCAGAAAGGAUAAAUAUAGAUAACUACCGAUUUUACCUUUCGGCGAGGGUUCAAUGUUUUAAGUCUUCUGAACAAGACUUCUCACCGUGUUCAUGCUUUAGGUGCGUCAUUUGAUUCAGGUGUGGACCUUGACGUCUGCACCUCUUGAUAUGGUGUCACCCAUGUUCUUCGUUUGCCCAGUAGUUCGAAGUGCGGUGUUGGCAGCAUCCUGCUCAGUGUGUGUUGUACUCAUAGAUCCAGGUCCUUCACUUGGUAGAGUCUGAGAGAUGAAAAAUCCUCCAUGUUUCUCAAAAUGUGUCCUACUCAUAGAGACAAGGCAUAGAUCAAGUGCAUGGGUCCUGUUGGUGGAAAACACCAACAGAACAAAAAGUGUAUUUUGUUCUUCUCUAACCUUAAGCAUAGUGAGCAAGACAAAUUUGAUGGAUAAUAAGAUCAUGAGUGUAGUAUUGAAAACAUUUGUCAGAUCAGAUCGCUCAACCUUAUGGAAAGAUAAUCUAUCUAUGUAUAUGUCUUUUUCUUUAUAUCUUCCCAAAGAUUGAGUGUGCAACAGUCUAGCUCAUAUGAUUAGGAGUGUGGGAUCAUGGAGGUAGUACUAGGAACAAAGAUUAAAGGACUAAACAUGUUGAAUCAGUUAGGUUGGUUAAUUUGAAGUUAUAAAUCAUACAUGUUUGUCUCUUUAUUUAUGUGAACGCCAGAACGAAGGAGAAGAUUAUAAAAGUGAUAGUCACAAAUCUUAAGAUGUUACCUUACUUGAAGAGUGAUGGCACAGUAUCACCUUGUGGAAGCUUUCCUUUCUUAGCGGUUGUGAAUCGUGUUUGUGGCACCCUCCAUGAGUCAUCUCUUAUGAGCUAUGUCUUCCUUGUGUAACUUGUUAAACUUCAUGUGUCUCUCUCUUUGUCUCCAAUGUGAGUUUAUCUCAGGACUUCCCAGGUUGAUAUUGAAAGUUUUCCUGUAGGGGUUGUUGACGGUUCUUAAGUAUCAAUUUUAAUUAUCAAAUAAACAAUAGAAAGGACCAAUAUAAAAACAACACCUAGAAUUAGGGUUUGAUCUGACAGAAUUCCACGAGUUUUGUUGUUUAUCUGUCUCUGUAGGGGGUUAUCAGGAAAUAAGGAAGAAAGGCCCACAUGUCGGGAUUACAUAGAGAUAUCAACGCACCGUGCAAUUUUCAACCAUCUACAAGACUCUAGAAGCCACGGGAAGGAAGCAGAGGCCGAAGAGAGCCAGGCCCAGGGCGCCCGCCCUCUGUUGGAUGCCAAUCAGGACUCUUUUCACACACGACGUUCCACCGACCUAAAGGAUCAAGGAUAACCGUCCAAUCAAUGUCGGUUUGAUCCAAUGGCUCACGUUCACUUGAGGGGACUAUAAAACCAGACCCCCUGGCCCCUGGAGGAGACAAGUUUAUCAUACAGUUGAGGGUAGCCCUCGAAGGAAAACCUCUUCUCUAAAUAAAAUUUCUUUUUAGGCUUAGCAACCAAUGUAAGUAGAAAUAGAUCUUCUAGUUUCUACUAGAUUGAGAGAGAUAGAGUGGAGGUGUAGAUUGGAGGAAGCCCGGCCUGUCGGUGUCUACUCCGAGCUUGUACCUGCGGGAUCAAGUUCUGCUUACCCAAGGCUUGCUCCUAGGAUUCUUCAGUAUUCCGACUUCUAAAUUCUAGUAAGUUCUUGUUUUAUUGUUCUUUUGGUUUAUGAGUUUACUUUAAUCUCUUCGCGUUCAGUUUAGAGUAAUCAUCUCUAGCGUAGACGUGGUGUUUAAGCUAGGAUACUCAUAGAUAUUCCCUGACUAGCUAGACCGUGGUAGUAGCGAGGAACGUGACAUUUCCGAGUUACCUUUGCAGACCAUAUGUAGCACCCAGUUUUAAGAACAAAACCAGAUACACACCAUAUGUGAGCCUAGGAAGUCAAUAUAGCCAUAAAUAGGGGUAAUAUCAAUAGACAAUGCUUAUAUAUAACGAACUUAGCAUAAAAGAUAUAACCUUAGAUAGCAAACAGCGGAAAGACACUCCGUUCUUCAUGCGAAAGCUCCAAAUCCACAGGGGCAACUGACUGGUUGAGCACAAGCCUAAAAUCUUUUCCAAGCCUGCAAUCUGGUACCCAUCCGGGAUUUGUAUCCAAAUAAAAUGUAAAGGCAAGCGUAAGUACAUCUCGUACUCAGCAAGAAUAACAUAGGAUUCAUGAGGCUCAAAGGCUAGACACUGGUUGAACUGCAUGUAGCUUUUAGUUGUCACAAUUUUAGCAUAUGAGUAGCAUCAAGUUGUCAAAUCCCGUAUUAAACUCAUGAUCAGGUAAAGUGAAUAAAGAAUAGCAUAAACAACAUAUUAACAAUAAUAACAUUAAAGAUUUGCCAUUAGUGAUCAUUUUUUCUGUAUUGGUCCAAGGCCACUCGUGACCUUGAGCAUGGCUGAUAUAUCAGUUUUACACUCUGCAGAGGUUGUACACUUUCACUGUGAGUCAUGAUUUACCCUUUCGCCCGAGGCCUGUCGACCUCUUAGCCCACUACCAAGGAAGACCGGCAGGGUUCACUAUGAAGCCUUUCAAAGGUUCGUCUAACAAGUUAGGGCCGCUUGGUUUCGUUAGUCAGUCCGUGUGACUCACCCGCAGGAAUCCACGGUCUGCUAUCCCCCAUUUGCGCCACAAGGGUAACGACUAACAAACUAGAAAAGGUCCUCAUAAUGAGCUAAAGCCAGAGCCAUGUAUCCCUCACAGCUGUACUGUAUGUCCCGGAUGGUCAGAUACAGAUAAGCCCUUAUGGAGAGAAACCUGAGCACCAUAAGUUGCUAAAAAGUCAUCUUUUAAUAUUUAUUGCAUAUUCCAUUAAACAAAUUACAAGAUCAUGGUUUAGUGGAGCACUAGCAUAAGCUACCCAAUGCAAAACCAUAGGUGACAAGGUAUGAGAUCAAUACUAGGAAAUCCUUAGCAAGGAGAAACAUGCAAUAUGAAUUGUGUGAUUAAUGUUAUUAGGAAACAAGGAUGAUCCCAUGCUAUACUUGCCUUGAAACUCAGAUCCUUCUUUUGGUUCCAAACCUUCCACAAUCUGCUUCUUGAACACCACGUAAAAGCUCACCGACUAAACUCAGUCAUCACAUCAACAACAAUCAUCCAGAGGCAAUCAUACAAAGUAAAACAAACCUAUAAUUAGAACAAUACACCAACAGUAGCAAAUAAAGAUAAAAAGUUUAUAAAACAAAUCUACAUCGCUCUACGAUCACACAGACGUAAAGAUCACGAAAAUCGGAGCUAUAACGAAGAAGUUAUGAUUUUCCUAAGAUUUCCUUUAAUAAAAUAAUAGAUUAAAACUAAGUUCAGAUUUAAAAAGUUGGAAGCAUGUAUAAUAGAGCUACUAAUCUAUAGAUUACGCAAAAACGAAUCUAACGCAAUUUGAACGGAUCAAAUCGGAGUUAAAACGAAGAAUAUAUGAAUUUUCUAAGAUUUUCUUUAGAAAAACAAUUAAUUAAUUUGGGUCACGGAAUUAAAAAGUUUCAACUGAGAAAACAGUGUUACUAACACGUAGAUCUUUUGAAUAGAAAACCAACGCAAUUUGAACGAGUCAAAACGGAAAUGAGAUGAAUAUUUUAUGAGUAAAACAAAUCCAGUGGCAAUGUGGUAAUUUGCUGAAAACGUAUUUUUGAAUAAAACCAGCACGGAGUACGUUUUUUAAGCUAUGAAAGCGUAUUUUGAAUCUGAGCAGACGGGAAUACGCUUUCAGAGUUAGGAAGCGUAUUUUGGAAAUCCGCAAAGGACUGCGGGUUGACUCUUUAAAAACAUUGGGGUUUCUUUUGCAAAAGUCACGGCCGAAGGGGGUAUCCUUCGAUUUAGGCCGUCGGAUCGCGAAUGGGUGGCUAAGAUUAGAUCGGGGGGAAGAGAGAAGACCGCCGGCCGGAGCUGGGGUAGGCCGCGGCGGCGCCAUGGCCGGAGUUGGCCGGCGUUGCUCAAUCGACCGACUCAAAGCGCUAGAACGUGAACCAAAAACACCGGGACAUGGAGAAACUUACCGAGAGCUCACCUAGGGCUAAAACGGAGUCGAGGAGCGGCUCGGGCACGCUCGCGACGUAGGAAGGCAGACGGCGACCUCUGCAAAAGUUCGGCGAGGUUACAUGGAGCGUAGAGAGCAUGAAAACACGAGAAAUAAGGCUUGGCAGAGUCGCAAGCACGAUAAGAAGCUCGGUAUGGAGCUUACGGGAGCAAAGCUACGGCACUACGGAAUUUCGAGCGCGGCGCGGAUCUCGGCGGCGUUCUAUGGCUCGGCUGCGGCGGCUGCUCGACCUAGAGUUGGGGUAGGGGGGUUUGGCAGAGCUGGGGUGCUAUUUAAGGCCCCCUCGGCGUGCGGGGCAAGCCAACCGCGAGGAUCACGCGCGGCCGUUGCUCAAACUCGGGCAGACUCCGGCUCCGUCACGAGGUGGAAGAAAGCCCUGACAGGUGGGCCCCACCUGUCUGCGACUCAGGGCGCGGAACCUGCUUGUUAGUGGAACGAGAGAGGGGACCGGAUGCUGGCGCGGGGGAAAAAAAGCUGGGCCGCGGCUCCUGCGCGCCUUGGGCCGAGAAGAAGAAGAAAAAGGGGGGAGGAAGGAUCUGGGCCUUCGGGCCGAAUUCCAUGAGAGGGAGGAGGAGAAAAUAAAUCUCUUUUUUUUCUUUUAAACCUAUUUCAAAUUUAAUUUUGAAAUCUGUUUGAAACAUAUUUUUGAACCUUAGUCAAAACCACUCAUUACAAUAAAUCAAAUGCAAAGACAUGAAUGCUCAAACAAGUUACUAGCUCCUAUGGUAAAUUUUAAUUUAAAGAAAAAUAUUAUUUUUCCUAUAGUUUAUGAGCACAAAAAUAUACAAUUAAAACCAUUUCUCAUAUUUUGGAAACUUGCUAAUUUUAGGGUGUUACAAUUCUACCCCCCUUAAAAUGAAUCUCGUCCUCGAGAUUCGGUUGGUGCUUACUCAAACAACUGAGGAUAUGAUUUUCUUAAAUCUCCUUCUGUUUUACAAAUAGCCUCCUCUUCGGUGCACAGAUUCCACUGGACUUUGUACAUCCUAAAAAUCCAACUCCUGGUCACCCUUUCUAUUGUUUCCAAAAUUUCUUACCAGGUACUCUUGUAUGUGAAAUCCGAUUUAACAAUCAAUUCUUCUAACGACAUCCGCUCUUAUGGCACACGAAAGUACUUUUUAAGUUGAGACUCAUGGAAGACAUCAUACACUCCUCCUAAACUUCCAGGUAGCUCUAUUUGGUAAGCCACUUCGUUCCAUAUUUCCUACAUCUUGAAUGGCCUGACAUACCUUGGUGCUAACUUUCCUUUCAUAUUAAACCUCCACACACUUCUCUUAGGUGACACCUCCAAAUACUCAUAGUUUCACACUUUGGAACUAAUUCUCUUCUCAGAUGUCAACAUAACUCUUAUGUCGAGUCUGUGCCACCCUUAAGUUAUCUUUGAUCACUUCUCACUUGUUAUUCAGCAUCUCUUAGAACUUCUAGCCCAAACACUUAUGUUCUCCCGUUUGAUUCCAAAUCAACAGGGUUCUACACUUACAUCCAUACCAGCUUUCAAAAGGCUCCCACUGAAGGCUCCUCUACUAACUGUUGUUCUAAGAAAACUUCGCAUACGGUAAACUCUUUGUACCAUACUGCAAUACACAAGCUCACCACAUAUCUUCUAAGUAAUCUCUUUGCAGUUCUUGUGGUUCCCAAAUGAGUAAUUAGUAGAGCUCAUUUGGCAGUACUAGUGACAUCACCCAGUUCAACACUCAACCCUUCAAACUUCAGUGUCAUUUGAACUCCUCUAGCACACUCUUUAUGCUCUGAGCAUUCGCAAAGGCUUUCUCUCCUUCAAGUGAUAGCAUUUUUUCCCAGUCAUAACUCUUGAUUCACUCAAAUCCAUCGACAAUGUGACCAGCUCAAUCCAACUUCCUAAAGAUGCCCUUUAGAUACUUACAUUCUACGCAGAUAUCACUCCUACAUUCAAGAGGUUAGUAUCUCCAUGAUCCACUAUGGUCACCUUCACAUCACGUGUCAGGUGGUCCAACUUACUUAGUUGACUCAAGCACAAGCCAUUACUUUCCUUGUGUAGAGCACAUCUAGGGUCUUGAUGGGAUAGAAAAACUCUAUUUGUCAAUCUUUAUAACACCUUCAAUGAACCAUUGAUAUAAUCUUAUUAUUCCAAAUCAGUCUCUUAGUCACUCUUAUGUCAAGAUCACAUUGGCCCUAGCAAACCUAUGAUAGCCUCUUGCCAUAUCUAUAAAACUCUAAGUCUCAUUCACUUCCUUUGGUGGUUUCCAGCUCUUGCAUCUUUAACUUUCUUAAGUCCAUAAUUAAAGAUGACGUCUCCUAGAUGACAACUAGAACACACUGGUUGUGCUCUCUUUAGCAAUGAAGUCUUUUGAGUCUCCGUAGAAUCAACAGUAGAUGUAGCUUAUCCACUUCAUAAGUUGUCAAGUGACCAAUUUCACGAACUUGAGCCAAGAUAGAUAAUUAUAAUCAUGGGAUAUCUCCAGAGACAACUUCUCACUUCAUGCUAAAUUGAAAGGGCCUUAACCAAUAAUGUCAAGGUACUACCCCCCUUAAAAUGAGAUAGGUAGGGGGAUAGUAUGGACUAGCUCUUCAUAUACUGUCUAGAUAAUUCACAUCAUAUGGUCUUUUAAAAUCACUGUACCAAGUCUCCUGAUCUAGAGUUGGUUUCAUCGCUACGUUCCAACUAUUGGUACCUCUAUCAGAGUUGAAUUGCUUUGCUCUCACAUCCCAUGUAUAACUUCGUAGACUUUGGUGUCACCUGAUUCUCCUAAGCACCACUUCCAAGCUAUGAGUACCAGCAAAUACCUGUAUCUCCAUCCAUAUUAUCACACUUCAAUGGAAUAAUUUAUUGUAUCAAAACCCAAAUUUUCCAAACACUUGAGGUCCUUAUCGAUGAUCCAACACUUCUCCUUGUAACUCCUUUGAUAAGACUACCCCCCUUAGAAAAGGUAAACUAGGGGAUUAAAUGGAUAGUUUGGUCCAUCUUUCAAGUGAGUUCCAGAUCUUCUAAUACCGAAGAGAAUCUCAUGUGCACUGAUAUGUACAAGAACUCUGAAAUUCCUCAUAACACGAGAAACACCAACGCAGUAAAAUAGGCAUAACUCCUUUUCUGUUAAUCCAAUAAGGUCUUAGCUGAUACCGUUAGAAACCCUAUCAAAAUCCCUACAACUUUCAUAUAGAAGGCUUCAUUAGUUUCUGUCAUUAAACCUAGGUAAAACAGCCAUACAUGAUAUCCAUCCCGACAAUGUCUCAGCAUCGGUGCAGCAACUUGCAGAAGUCAUAUCUCGAGUUACUUAGAUCAUAUGGGGACGAGUCUUACAUGGUUGAAAAGCUUAUGAAGUCCUCCACAACUUCUGUAAAUCCCACUUUUCCAGAUUCUGAUGUUUAGUUGGCUGAAAAGUAGGAAUUAACUAGAACUGUCCAGAUUUUGAACUGUGCACCAACAGCAACGUAUAGAUGUCAUAACUCAAGUUCUAUUAAUCCGAUAAAGUUUCAGUUUGCAUCGUUGGAAAGCUUAUCAAAUGACCUAAAACUUUAUUAUAGAACCUUUUCCCAAAUUCCGGAGUUACAUUUGUCCAAAACAGUAGGCAACUGAAACUGGUCCUGAUUCCUGACAGCUCAACUGUACCAUCUUGUGAUUUUCAUAGUUCCCAAACCACAACAGCUAUGGGGGUGAUUCUUGCGGUCCGAGAAGGAUCUUGAUGUCUACUAUCACCCAGAAUUUUCACAUGAUUUUAUGGUCCUCCAGGAAUAGGGAUUUUGAACUAAAGAAUACAAGUUGCUCCCAAAAGACAAGGACAAAGAAACAAGAGAAACUAAAACCCAACUAUUUAUUUCAUUAAUCCUUAUACCUUAGGCCUGUAAACUAAAUGAAGUUGUGGAGAAACCCACAAGAUCAUUGCGCUCAUUACAAAAAUCCAACUCAAACAUAAGCACCAAGACAAACCAACCAAACAUUAAAGGCUCACAAAGCACACAUAUAUGACUAAACUCAACUUUUGCCACUAACGUUUAUUACAAAGGGGGACUUCCUACUUCUUAAACAUGGUGUGACUACAACGGCAUCUAGGGUAGCAUCUCUUGCGUGGAGUUAGGUGAGGUAUGUCCUCCACCUCAUUGAUCUUAGGUAAUCCACCACGACUUCUCCACUCAUCAAUCUCAUCAAGGGCUUCCUCAUAGUGUUGCCAUACUUCUGCCAAUUCCAGUUGACUAUCUUCUAGCUUUUGAUGCAUGACUUGGAUAGUCAAAGCCAUCUCCUUUAGUUGUUCAUUCUGCUCCAAGUAGGGGUCAGCCAUCACACAUUGCAAAUUGCUUGGUGGACGACGAGGUAGAUACUUUUGUUUGUCAUUCUUCCUCUCUUCGCAGUGCUUUCCAUGAUAUGCCAGAAGAGCUUGAUGGGCAGCAUCAGAUAUGCUAGCAUGCUUGCUGAAACGGUCACUGGGAGACGAAUGAAUGGAUUCCACCACGCAUGAACCAGUAAACUCAUUCCACCUUGUGAUGUGUGCUUCUGUGCUCCAGUGGCUCUCAUACUUAGGAUGAGUCCACUUAGUGCACUUAUACUCCACCUUGGCUUGCUGUUCAGGAUAAUGGUCUUGUAGUAUACGCACAAGCCGAGGGUGAAAGAAAUCUUCCCCACUAAAGGAUGUGGUAAAGUACUCCUUUCGCCAACCAAUAUGUCUUGAUGGGACAGGGCGAGCUUCCUCAUACUCUGGUUCCGUUAAGCCAUAGAUACCCCGAGUUAGGCAUGGUCUUCCAGAGUUGCUGCAAGCAAUCUUCUCGUUACGAACCAUCUAUGGAAUUAGACCAAGAGAGAGUUAGAAUAGAAGCAAUACUUUUAGAAAAGAAUUAGGUGACAGAAGCAUAAGAAUUUUAGCAAUAGCAAGGGUGAGAUAGUAAGCAAGAAUGUAGUGAAGCAAAGAUGACUAAAACGACCAUUACUAUCUAGGCUUGCAUCCUACAGUCAGCAUUGCUCUGAUACCACUUUGUAGCACCCGGUUUUAAGAACAAAACCAGAUACACACCAUAUGUGAGCCCAGGAAGUCAAAUCUCACAUAUAGCCACAAAUAGGGGUAAUAUCAAUAGACAAUGCUUAUAUAUAACGAACUUAGCAUAAAAGAUAUAACCUUAGAUAGCAAACAGCGGAAAGACACUCCGUUCUUCAGGUGAAAGCUCCAAAUCCAUAAGGACAACUGACUGGUUGAGCACAGGCCUAAAAUCUUUUCCAAGCUUGCAAUAUGGUACCCAUCCAGGAUUUUUAUCCAAAUAAAAUGUAAAGGCAAGCGUAAGUACAUCUCGUACUCAGCAAGAAUAACAUAGGGUUCAUGAGGCUCAAAGGCUAGACACUGGUUGAACUGCAUGUAGCUUUUAGUUGUCACAGUUUUAGCAUAUGAGUAGCAUCAAGUUGUCAAAUCCCGUAUUAAACUCAUGAUUAGGUAAAGUGAAUAAAGAAUAGCAUAAACAACAUAUUAACAAUAAUAACAUUAAUGGUUUGCCAUUAGUGAUCAUUUUUUCUGUAUUGGUCCAAGGCCGCUCGUGACCGUGAGCACGGCUGAUAUAUCAGUUUUACACUCUGCAGAGGUUGUACACUUUCACUGUGAGUCAUGAUUUACUCUUUCCCCCGAGGCCCGUCAACCUCUUAGCCCACUACCAAGGAAGACCGGCAGGGUUCACUAUGAAGCCUUUCAAAGGUUCGUCUAACAAGUUAGGACCGCUUGUUUUCUUUAGUAGUCUGUGUAACUCACCCGCAGGAAUCCACGGUCUGCUAUCCCCCAUUUGUGCCACAAGGGUAACCACUAACAAGCUAGAAAAGGCCAUCAUACUGAGCUAAAGCCAGAGCCAUGUAGCCCUCACAGUUGUACUGUAUGUCCCGGAUGGUCAGAUACAGAUAAGUCCUUAAGGAGAGAAACCAGAGCACCAUAAGGUAGACCAAUGCUCCGGCCCUCUUUUCCAAAGUUGCUAAAAAGUCAUAUUUUAAUGUUUAUUGCAUAUUCCAUUAAACAAAUUACAAGAUCAUGGUUUAGUGGAGCACUAGCAUAAGCUACCCAAUGCAAAACCAUAGGUGACAAGGUAUGAGAUCAAUACUAGGAAAUCCUUAGCAAGGAGAAACAUGCAAUAUGAAUUGUCUGAUUAAAGUUAUUAGGAAAUAAGGAUGAUCCUAUGCUAUACUUGCCUUGAAACUCAGAUCCUUCUUUUGGUUCCAAACCUUCCACAAUCUGCUUCUUGAACACCACGUAAAAGCUCACCGACUAAACUCAGUCGUCACAUCAACAACAAUCAUCCAGAGGCAAUCAUACAAAGCAAAACAAACAUAUAAUUAGAACAAUACACCAACAGUAGCAAAUAAAGAUAAAAAGUUUAUAAAACAAAUCUACAUCGCUCUACGAUCACACAGACGUAAAGAUCACGAAAAUCGGAGCUAUAACGAAGAAGUUAUGAUUUUCCUAAGAUUUCCUUUAAUAAAAUAAUAGAUUAAAACUAAGUUCAGAUUUAAAAAUUUGGAAGCAUGUAUAACAGAGCUACUAAUCUAUAGAUUACGCAAAAACGAAUCUAACGCAAUUUGAACGGAUCAAAUCGGAGUUAAAACGAAGAAUAUAUGAAUUUUCUAAGAUUUUCUGUAGAAAAACAAUUAAUUAGAUUGGGUCACGGAAUUAAAAAGUUUCAACUGAGAAAACAGUGUUACUAACACGUAGAUCUUUUGAAUACAAAACCAACGCAAUUUGAACGAGUCAAAACGGAAUUGAGAUGAAUAUUUUAUGAGUAAAACAAAUCCAGUGGCAAUGUGGUAAUUUGCUGAAAACGUAUUUUUGAAUAAAACCAGCACGGAGUACGUUUUUAAGCUAUGAAAGCGUAUUUUUAAUCUGAGCGGACGGGAAUACUCUUUCAGAGUUAGGAAGCGUAUUCUGGAAAUCCGCAAAGGACUGCGGGUUUACUCUUUAAAAACAUUGGGGUUUCUUUUGCAAAAUUCAUGGCCGAAGGGGUAUCCUUCGAUUUAGGCCGUCGGAUCGCGAAUGGGUGGCUAAGAUUAGAUCGGGGGGAAGAGAGAAGACCGCUGGCCGGAGCUGGGGUAGGCCGCGGCGGCGCCAUGGCCGGAGUUGGCCGGCGUUGCUCAAUCGAGCGACUCAAAGCGCUAGAACGUGAACCAAAAACACCAGGACAUGGAGAAACUUACCGCGAGCUCACCUAUGGCUAAAACGGAGUCGAGGAGCGGCUCGGGCACGCUCGCGAAGUAGGAAGGCGGACGGCGACCUCUGUGAAAGUUCGGCGAGGUUACACGGAGCAUAGAGAGCAUGAAAACGCGAGAAAGAAAGCUUGGCGGUGUCGCAAGCACGAUAAGAAGCUCGAUAUGGAGCUUACGGGGGCAAAGCUACGGCACUGCGGAAUUUCGAGCGCGGCGCGGAUCUCGGCGGCGUUCUAUGGCUCGGCUGCGGCGGCUGCUCGACCUAGAGUUGGGGCAGUGGGGUUUGGCGGAGCUGUGGCGCUAUUUAAGGCCCCCUCGGCGUGCGGGGCAAGCCAACCACGAGGAUCACGCGCGGCCGUUGCUCAAACUCGGGCAGAAUCCGACUCCGUCACGAGGUGGAAGAAAGCCCUGAUAGGUGGGCCCCACCUGUCUGCGACUCAGGGCGCGGGACCUGCUUGUCAGUGGAAGGAGAGAGGGGAACGGAUGCUGGCGCGGGGGGGGAAAAGCUGGGUUGCGGCUCCUGCGCGCCUUGGGCCGAGAAGAAGAAGAAAAAGGGGGGGGGGAGGAAGGAUCUGGUCCUUCGGGCCGAAUUCAAUGAGAGGGAGGAGGAGAAAAUAAAUCUCUUUUGUUUCUUUUAAUACUAUUUCAAAUUUAAUUUUGAAAUCUGUUUGAAACAUAUUUUUGAACCUUAGUCAAAACCACUCAUUACAAUAAAUCAAAUGCAAAGACAUGAAUGCUCAAACAAGUUACUAGCUCCUAUGGUAAAUUUUAAUUUAAAGAAAAAUAUUAUUUUUCCUAUAUUUUAUGAGCACAAAAAUACACAAUUAAAACCAUUUCUCCUAUUUUGGAAACGUGCAAAUUUUAGCGUGUUACACCAUAUCUCGUUAGCAGGAAGGAUAGGGUUUAUAGGUGCGGGUUGAACAUCCUCUGUGGUGUCUAGAUUCCGUUAGCCUCCCAAAUAGAACAGUAAAUCAUCCUUACCAAGGUUAGAAGGAGAUUACGGUUGUAGUCUUCUCUAUUUAUCACUCACAUCGAGAAACAUUCUUUGUUGCCUAAAGGGUUAGUAGUAAUAGACCGGGUUAGUCAAAUGCACUCUUUCUCCUAGUGGUAAAAAAAUAAAUACGAUACUCUGGAUAACUUCCCGGGUGAAGUGCUCACCGAUAUCCGUGCGCUUGCGGAUCAAUUCCUUAUUGCGUUCCCAAAUAUCAACAGGGGUUAGUCCAACAAAAUAUCCAAUAUCUACUAUAGCAUACCAUCGGCUCAAAAAUUAAUCUAGACACUAUGUCUAAUUUGAUUUAGGAGGGCAUUUUAACCUAAGCACCAUGCUUAAUUUAAAAUCCCUUAGAAGUAAGAUCAUCAUUCCUAAACUAAGCACCAUGUUUAUUUAAGAGAUAAAUGAAACUACUCCAAACCUAGACAUAUACUGAAGCAAAUAAAGGUAGCAUGGGAGCAUUUAUAGAGAUCUACUCAAGUGGAGAUGAAGUAGUGUGAUUAGUAUUUAACAAAUUGAGCAUUUCUCAAAGGUAGGGACAACCAACAUAGCAACAUGACAAAUGAUGUUUUUAUGUAAAGUACUCUACCAAGCUUAAAUUUUGCAAAAUUCAAGUUUGGAUGAAUUUAAUUCAAUGUUGUAUGAUGAUUGCGUUGAUGCAAAAGUGGAUCUGCAAACACAAAGGGCUAAUACCCGAUUUCAAACGUUAAGGCGUGCCAGCCGAUUUGACCUUACUAUCGGCAAAGGUGAUAACUCGAAUACUUUGGUUCCGACAACAGCGAUGCGCCCGGAUGCCACGGCCAAGAGGUAUUCACGCGGAACUCGAGAAUACGCCGAGCUUAAGUCGACGAAUUCCUAAGAACUCGUAAUAGAAAGGAAAAUAUAACGAAGUCGUCAAAAAAGUAGAUGCUGGAAUAUGAGUAAAAACUUGUGUUUGAUUGAUUGAUAGAUUGUUCAUUACAAGGCCCUAGGGUCUACAUUUAUACCCUGCUCAAAGAGCUACAAUCAGACACGACUAGGACUCGAAUUCCAAAUUAAACAGAAUCCGUAUACAAAACGAUUUAAAUAACUAAGAAAAACACAGAACUAGCCUUCCGUGACAAACCGGGACACCACCAUGGACCAAUCGGCAACCUUAACGUUCUCCUUCCGAGUCAUCGGCAGACUCCUCAUCGUAGCCAUCGGCAAAGGCUAACGCUGACCAUCGGCAUGAACGCGUCACCACUCAUGGACUUAGUCACAUUCAGCUGUCUCUUCAUCGGCAACCACCUUCAUCGGCAACUCCACUGCAGACCAGUUACUAUUGCCCCAUCUUGCCGAUCUAUACUCUACCGAUCCCUGGGUACGUGUCCAAAAAUGGUGUCAACACAUGCCCCCCAAUUUCGGAGUAUAAAACCAUUAAUGCUCCGAAAUUCUCUGCAGUAAUGAUGCCUUUCCGCAAUUAAUCCUCUCAAUUUGGUAACCGACCGUUGAAGUCGAGCAACUCUGGCCCGAUCCUUCUGCAGAUUCCUCGAAUUCCUCAACCUCCCAAACUAGACAUCUCCACUUUAUUCGCCCAUCGGCAAUAUUGCCGUUAAAGGGAGCUGCCGAUGGACCGACCAGGAAAUCCCGCACAGUGAAAUAUCUCCAGAUUAUGACCGCUUCCUGUCAAAUCACCUGCACAAUCCCUUGAUUACCGUGCGAACAGUUACCAUAUCCACCUGAGUAUCCUUGGAUUUCACGGAUACGGCGAAGAAAUAAGUCAGAUUUGCCCUUGCCCGUUUUGUCCUAUAAAUAGUUCCAUCUCGGGUACUCCUUCUUCAUCGCAUCAUUCUACAUCCCCAACUUUGCUUUUCUGGCGGCGGCACUGUUCGAGAGCCCCAAGAACUCCAACAAGAACCUCCUCCAACAACCCCCAAGUUCUCAAUCUUCUCCCCUGCGAGGAGAUGGCCAUCAACUUCGUCGUUCCUGAGGUCAGCGUACUAUUCUUUUUCCUGCACUUUCAUUGUAUGCCUGUUUAUCCGCAGUCUAUCUUACUGAAUUCUUUUUUUUCUUUUUGUUCUUCUUUUUGCUCCCAAAAAUUUCUAGGAUUUGGCCAAUAAAAUCGUUAUUCCUACCGAUCAACCCCACCUUCAAUGCCUUGGUCCACUAGGAAAUUUGGAUCCCACCGAUCUUAUAAAUGCGGAGACAAACAGAAUCCCUUUUAGAGACGAGAAUUUCUCUUUAGAUCUAUGGAAGGAUGCUUUCCGUUCCUGGCCCAAUCCUACCAAGGGAUGGAAAGAUUGGUUCCUGAGAGUCAGUAACUCAAAUGAGGUCCAAUGGGGUGAACGGAAACUGGAUCAGUGCAUCAGAUUGUCUCUUGCCGAUAUGCAGAGAAACGAGUCGUUACUGAUAGCUGCCUCAAACUUUUGGUCAGACACACUUAAUGAUUUUCUUUUCGGCCAUGACCCCGCUUCUCCCACUCUUGCCGAUGUGCUUAUGCUCACUGGCUUAGAUGUAUCCACUGCCGAUAGUAGUCAAAUAUUUGACACCCAACCUAGCGCUAAGGUGGAAACUCGCUCUAUCGGUGGCUGGUCUGGGUAGAUUCAGAAGUACCGUAGAACAGGGCCUAUCAACAUAAAGGAACAGACCACCUUCCUGAACAUGUGGUUAGACAAAUUUGUAUUCUGCGGUCGAUCGGCAGGGCCAACCUCUGUCUACCUAUCGACAGUAGAGAGAUUAGCCAAUGGUGGCCGAUUUCCCCUCGGCCGAUACCUGCUUGGUUCUGCCUAUCAUCUUCUCCAUCAGGUAGCCCAGAAACUACUGCUUGGUCAGUCCAUCGGCAACUUAGGGGGCCCUUGGUGGUUCAUCAACAUGUGGCUUAGCCUCCAUAUGCACAAGCGACUGGGAUUCGACCUCUUCGCACAGCGUUUCCCUAGGGAUAUAGCAGAGGAUCAUGAGUUGGAUGAAGAAGAAUCGGCAACCCGUCCUCCCUUAAACUAUGGUGAAGCUGUCAUAGCCUUGCCUGGUACUGGAGGCAACGGAGAUCAAGUCAGCCGAUUCUUUUAGACUCUUUAUGAGGGUUUGACCAAAGAGCAGUGAGCAUGGAUGCCUUAUGAAGAUCCAGACACCAGAUUUCCUCUCACCUUUCACCCCUUCGACGAUGCUCUCAAUAAAGAUCAUGAUGUGAUGAUGGCACUUAUCACUCCAAGAGCUAUACCAGUAAACUUCUUUGGCAGUGGGAAAGCCUCCAACCAAACCUAUGAAUUCUACAACCCAUCGGCACUAGCCCGUCAACUAGCUUUUGGUCAGCUGCCGAUUGCACUCUGUUAUGCCGAUGUGAUAAAACCGAGGGAAACCAUCACUAGUCUUCUCAAAUGGACUAGAAUAGCUCAAUUGCCACCAAAUGCCAACACAGAUGCUGAUCUAUCAGAUUGGAUCCCGUCCCUCUUCAUUACUCGGGCAUAAAAACAAUUGUGGGAAGAAUGGAAAGAGCAUUUGUUCUGCAAAUCGGCUCUCACGUACCGCGGCAUGAUCGACCCCCAGUACAAAGUCCCCGACAAUACUGUAAGUAUUUCUAAACCGAUGUACUAAUCCUUUCACUUUUACUUCCAUCGGUAACUCACUUUCUGUGUUACAUUACAGGUUGAUAACACUCCCCCAUCGGUCAGCAGGAGUGGUAAGCCGAUUGAGCUCCUUCCAUCGGGUCCGAUUUCUUUGAUCGGCAACAACUCUCCAUCCCUGGCCGCUAUAAUGCAUCAGGGUGUACGUCUCAAGAAAGUCACCACCAAGCGGACGAAGGCAUCUCCAUCGGUAGCUGCCUCUACUUUAGCACAACCUUCAAGGUAAAUUUUCGAAUUCUUGUACCCAUACCGAUUCCAUUCUUACAUCUGUUACACUUGUACUCACAAAUUUUCAUUGUUGUAUCAGCAAACUGGCACAUCGGCAAAGACCAGAGGUGUGACUGCCAAUGCCCCCCAGUCCAGCCAACCAAAGAGGAAAAGCUCCAAGAGUACCAGAACCCAGGCAAAGCGCCAGAGAACAGCAAUACCUUCUCCUCCUCGAAGAUCACCGAUCUCGGUGGAAUCUUCUCCCUCUUCUCCAGAAGUCCAAAUACAACAAGCACCAUUUCCCCCUCAGCCACAAGAAGAACCCCACACAGAACAACUCCUACUAGAGGAACCUCAGCUAGAAGACACAUUGGCUGACGUGCACGAGAAAACCGCCGAUCCAGCAAGCCUGAUCAUAGCAUCGGUAGUUUCCUCAAUCCAGACAAGCACUGUACCCUCUCAAGGUAACAUAUUCUCUAUGAAAUCAUUGCCGAUGAACCUACUUUUCCCGUCUUAUAAUUACUUCUGUUAAUCUUUCAGCUGACAUAGUCCCAUCGGCAACCCCAGCCGAUCAGCCCGUGGUUCCAUCGGCAUCAUCUAGUCAGAGGCCAGAGAUUGCCCUAAAACAAGUAAGUUACCCAAUCUAUCUGUAUUAUUUAUCAAUACUUGACCAUAGAAUAACUUAUUUUAUUUCCUUUUCAGGAAUAGGACUCUCCUGACAGUUUGUUCUCCUUUGCCAUCGGCAUCUCUGAAGAUGAAGGCGAGGAGGCAAGUUCUUCUCGAGCUAUUGGAAUCUCAUCGGCAGAAAUCAGAGCAAAGUUAGAAGAAUUGUCGGCCCUCCUUCACCAAGACAUGGCCCAAUUGGUCGACGACUCUAAUCCAGCCAAGGCCUUGUUCAAGACUCUCAGAGGUCAAAUCUCUGCCGAUGCCGAGGAAGUCCUUUUUCAGGCUGCACACCUAGAGAGUUGUCAGCUGCAGUAUCAAAAGGCUGCCCAGCGUCUUGCCGAUAGAGCUGCUCACGCUCAACUCUCAGAGGAGAUGAUGAAAGUGAAGCUCCUUGCCAAUGAGAAGCAUAAGAGCAUCGGCAUUCUGAAAUCCUAAGGAGACGUACUGAAGCAGAAGAUUUUUGAUCUAUUGGCGAGAAGGGAAGCUCUGUUGGCUGAACUCAGACAAGUGGAAGAAGCUCUAUCCCAAGCCCAACAGGAAGAAAGCCAACUGCCUGAAGCAAUCGAAACUCUUGAACAAGAGCGAAACGUCCAGGCUCGUAAAGCACUGCAGAUGAAGAAGAAGCUGAAGCCGGUGGAGGGCUCUGCCGAUGAUGACAUGAAGGAGAUAGAAGAAGCCAACCAGAUCCGUCUGCGCGCCAUAUCGACGAUCCAGGCUUUGUUAAACAUAUGAAUUCCUCAUCGACGGCACACUUUGCUCUUUUCUCUUAAUUAAUUUGGUCUAGCUGAUAGGACUGUUAUCGGCAUCUUUUAGAAACACUAAGUCCGGCUCCAGACACAGUUUGAUCCAGCCGAUAGGAAUGUUAUCGGCACUUAAACUUUUAUGCAUCGACCCAUAUGCUCAGGUAAUAUUUCUUUAGAUAUUUGCCAUUUAAUGCCCUGGGAAAUUCAACUCCUUCGAGAGUUUCUAAGAUAUAGGUGUUGACGGUCCUUAAGUACUAAAAUUAAUAAUCAAAUAAACAUGAAAAAGGAUCAAUAUGAAACAAACAUCUAGAAUUAGGGUUUUAUCUGAUAGAAUUCCACGAGCUUUGGUGUUUAUCUAUUUCUACAGGGGGUUAUCAGAGAAUAUGGAGAGAAGGCCCACAUGUCAUGUUUACAACGAGAUAAUUACAUGCCGCGCAAUUUUCUUCAAUCUAGAAAAGUCCAGAAGCCACGGGAACGAACGAGAAGGGAAUCGGGCUCGGGGGCGGGGCGCCCGCCCACCCCCCUUGGGCGCCCGCCCUGGCCAGGAGUUGGAUCAGGACUCUGCUUCGGGGCUAAACUCCACCAACCUAAAGGAUCAAUCUAAAUCAUACAAUCAAUGUCGGUUUGAUCUGACGGCCCACAUUCACUUGAAGGGACUAUAAAACCAAGGCCUCUCCCCCCCGGAGGAGAGAGGAGAAGAGAAGAAAUCAUUAUUCAGAGGUAGCCAUCAAAGUUAGGGGUUUAGAGCUUCUCUCCCACAGAGAAUUAGAAUUAGCUACUCCCUAAUCCUUCAAGUUUAGAGGUUUGAUUAGAUAGCAAUUAGAGAAGUAGAGCACUACGCUCUGGAUUCGGAUCUUCGGUAAUAAAGAUUGGUAUUAUUCAUAUCUUUCUCUAAUUCUUUGUUCUAAUUGCAUUAUGUCUCUAAUUAUUAUGUUCUUAGUUUGCUCUAGUUCUAUAUUUGAUAUAGUUCUAAUUGAUAAUGAGUUUAUGUAUAAGUUUGCAAAGCGCUUAGCUCUUGACGCGAGGGAGUUAGGUGAUAGAUCACAUGUGAGCGUGGUUCUUAGAUGUUAUUUAUCUGCAAAUGUAUCCUAUUGGCCGGGUCAUGUGGUAGUUCGCGAUAGUGACAGUUUCGUUGAUUCUUAUAUAGUCCACCCUCCGUUGAUAGGACAGGCAGAACCGAUAUUGUGGAGUAAGUCUUGCGAUGCUUUGAUUUACUUUAUCAAUGUUCCUUAUACAUGAAUGAAGAGUAUUUUAUGCUAUAUAUGAUCUUGUAGAUAACUAGAGUAGAUUAUGACUUAGUAGUUAGUAGAUAACUUAGAAUCCAUUCUCUAGCUAAUCCGACAUCACCUACAUAUAUGAGGAGUAGUCUAUUUUCUAAUCGUUGUGUUAUUUAUCCCUUGAACUUAUAAUUCAUUAUCAUUAUCUUUAUGGUUUACCACCUGCUAAAGUAAGUGACUGUGUGGCGAGUUUCUCAUUAGUAAUCAUGUUCUUGCAAGUUUAUCUCUAGUCUAUGCCUUGAUAGAUUUUGCCCUUAAUUUAAUCUCCUUAGUUCUCUCGAGCAAAAUUAUAAAUAACGAUACCUGGAAUACUUAUCCUGGUGAAAUGCUACAAUGAGGUGUUUUAUCUAUGCUCUUGCGGAUAGAAUAGAUUAUUUUCUAGAGAGCCUUUACAUUUAUAAAUACCGUUGUACACUAUGGCACCAUGCUGGGGAUGACAACCUAUUAUCUAAGUGGUGUUAGCUAGUGUCAACAAGCAUUUCUGGCGCCGUUAUUCAUAUAAAAUAUUAGACUAGACUAUAGAGAAAUAAUUGCAUAAAAACAGCUACUAAGUGAGAAAUCAUAACAAGGCACCUCUGCUUUGGCAGGUUCACCCUGUUGUUUUUCUAUGUUUAUAUUUUUAUAUAGGGUAUAUCAGGAUUGACUUUGGGUACAUGCAACUCUUCAUUAUGAGAACCAAAGCAAUCAAGAGAAGAAGAAGCUAGCUACCAAUUGCUGAAGCUAUGGCACAGAAGACCCUACAAGAAUUCUCUGCUCCAAGCCUUAAGAACAUUCCAACUGGUCCAAGAUUUUCAGUAGAAGGAGUACCUGAGUUUGAGCUCAAGUCAAGCCUCAUCAAUUUGGUGCAAGCUACACAAUUCAGUGGCAAGGCACAUGAAGAUGCUAGUGCACACUUGCAGAAUUUCUUAGAGAUUGGAAGCACAAUCCACAUCAACGGAGUUGACAAAGAUGUCAUACUGCUUUGCCUUUUUCCAUUCUCACUAGAAGGGAAAGCGAGGAAGUGGUUCUACACUCAUCAAGAUAACAUCAACAACUAGACGAACUUGUCAGAAGCCUUUCUAUCAAAGUUUUUCCCUAUAGGCAAAACAACUGCCUUAAGAGGAAAUAUUGUCAGUUUCCAACAACAGAAGACAGAAGCCAUUUCAGAAGCAUGGGAGCGUUUUCAAGGAUACAUAUCAGACUGUCCUCAACAUGGAAUGGCGACAUGGUUACUUAUGCAGACCUUCUACCAUGGAUUAACCUAGAAGGCUCGUGAGUGCCAAGAUGCAUCUGCUAAAGGAUCAUUCUUGGAGCUUACAACUGGAAAAGCAGAAAUACUUUUGGAUAAGAUAGCAGAAAAUCAAAGCUGGUUCCAAGAUAAAGCUCAACAGUGCCAUCAAACUGAAGAAAUACCAGAAGAAGUAAAUGCAUUAUCAACUAAGAUGGAAAAUUUGCUCCAUUGGAUUGACCAAAGGGCCAAGAUCAAAGAAGAUCAAAGGGCCAUUCAGACAGCAUACAAAUAUCAACCAACUUCGAGUCAACCCAAUAGCAAAGGUAAAGAAUAUAACUACUAGAGGAGGCAAAGCCACCAGAGAUCCCCCAUACCCAAAAGAGAAACAAAGAACAUCAGCACCAGUGCAACCAGCAGUGAUAGAAGAAGAAAGCCCAGUUGAAGCAGAAGAUCUGCUACAACCACCAAGAACUGGAGAAAUGAGGAAAGAUUUUUACGACACCAACUAUUUGCCAUUUCCCAGAAGAAACACAGGACUGCAGUCGGAUGAACAGUUUGGUAAGUUUGUAGAGGUCAUUCAGAAAUUAUAUGUCAACAUACCUCUGCUCGAUGCCAUACAGGUACCUACAUAUGCAAAGUACAUCAGAGAUAUUCUUAACAAGAAGAGACCACUGCCCACCACUGAGGUUAUCAACCUGACAGAAGAAUGUAGUGCGGCCAUCCUCAAUAAGCCACCAAAGAAGAAGGAAGAUCCCGGAUGUCCCACUAUUGACUGCUCGAUCGGAAACCAACACUUCAACAAUGCACAUUGUGAUCUCAGAGCAAGUGUCAGUGUGAUGCCAGCAUCAGUCUACAAAAAGCUUGAGCAUGCGACCCUAGAACCAACAUCAAUGUGCCUACAACUAGCAGAUCAAUCGGUUCGACACCCGUUGGGCAUCGCCGAGAACAUUCUAGUCAAGAUCAGAGAUUUCCUGGUGCCAGUAGAUUUCGUAGUACUGGACAUGAGUCCCGACUCAAAAGUGUCCAUCAUCCUUGGAAGGCCAUUUCUGAGCACUGCCAAUGCCCACAUUGAUGUUGGGAAGGGAGAAAUUAAGUUCAACAUAAACGGUCAAGAAGAACACUUCACAUUCAAGCCCAGACCAGAGAGAGACCCUACAGUGAAGGAAGUUCAUGAAGAACCACUGGAGACACCAUCUCCGGAGGAAGGUAACUCAGAAAAUUAAAAGAUUUGGAGGUCCAGCUUGGGGGACCUAAAAAUCCCAAACCCUCACCGGGAGGUAAAUCGGUAUUUAUCCGCAUUAUUAAUUUUCUCAUAUUUAAAUUCUUGCAUAAUUAAUUCUUGCAUUAGUCAUAUAUAUUCAUAGCAUUAUUAUAAUAAUCAAAAGCCCCAUAUAAAUAAUAUUCAUGGUGUGUAACAACCCAUAUUUAUUAAUUAUUAUGGAGGCACAAAAAAAUAUUUUCCAUUAUCAUUUUAAUUUUCAAUUCUCAUAGAUUUUCCUGCAUUAUAUUUAAUUAUAGUAACCUUCUAGAAGCAUGACCCACACUCUUUGGGUCCCACAUGUCAUACACUUCACCUCACAUACAUCCAUCACAUAAUUUCAUCCACCAAUAUGUUUCCACUCACCAGACAUCUUUCCACCGUCCAACCACCACCAACACAAUAUUAUUCUGCGUGAGAUCAAAGCAAGGAAGCAAGUGGAGGAGGCACACCCAGGAUGGACACCAGGGGUGGGCGCCCGCCCACCUACCCAGGGCGCCCGCCCUGUCCCCUGCUCAGCUUAUAAAAGGCCACCUCCAGCUUCCCUUCUCUUCACACACACAUUUCAGAAAACCUUGCAAGCUCAGUUUCCAGAGAAUAGCUCUGAGUGUGAGAAAGUUGGGAGUUCUUUUGAGUGAGAGAGUGAGUAUCACCUAGUAAGUAGUUGUCUAAGCGGAAGUAAAAGUUGUUUAGGGGGAGGUUCUGCCAAAAUAGAAACUUAUCUUGAACGACUAAACUACUGACAUUCCGGACAACUGACCACUAACAUUUUCUCUCACAUUUCCACUAGUUGUGUUUUUGCCAACUUUUGUUUACAGGAUGUUUAAGAAGGUGAAGAACGCAUGGAAGGCUCUCAAGAACAUUGGUACAAGGAGUUCAUCCCGACACUCCUCACACCCAUCAGAGAUGAGCGUCGAUCCGACACUCACACAGGCUCCGUCAUCUUCAUCUGGUCAGCAAGUUAAGGUCCUUCUCAAGAUAGGAGACCUUGGACUGAAGACCCGAAGAGAGAAGGAAGUCUAUCAGCAAUUGAAGAACAAAUAUUUCAUUCACACCCCUACUCUUGAUCCAAUCUUACUACAAGAAACAAGUAUGGACACUGAAUUCGACUUAAUUUUUCAGAUGAUAGGUUGGACAAAUUUUUGGAAUAUAACUGAACUGGGUUCUCGUCUUCUCACCCUCGAAUUUCUUUGCACUUUACAAUACUAUGAGGGGGGAAUUGUUUUUCAAAUGUUCAAACAGGAGAUUAUGUUGUCUUGGAUAGAGCUGAGCGACCAUCUUGGUUUCUCUUCAAGAUGCAUCCUGAACAUUGACUCCAAUUUACCCAACUUUGAGAGACACCAGUUUUGGAGAGAAAUAUCUAGAGAUAAUUUUUAUAGUUAAGCCCGAACCAGUGACAUGGAACACCCCACUCUUAGGAUGUUCCACAAAUGGCUUGGGUACAAUCUUUUCUAUCGCGAUGAUAUUAGGAAAAUAAGAGUAGGAGAUUUACAACUUUCAUAUGCUGCUAUUAAUAAAGUACCCACUUCACCUAUUACACUAUUAAUUUCUCAUUGGCUUAGUGUACGUAGUCUUCAGGGACCAGUAGGAUGUACUUCACUUAUCACUCGUCUAGCCUUUAAUCUUCACUUACUAGAAAACUCAUCGUUGGACUUCAUAGAUGAGUUAAGAAUUUAUCAUGGCUAUGACAUAUUUAGACAAGUUCGGAUGUUAAAGAAAGAAGGGAAUGUAAUGUAUAUGCUAUAUGAUGAUAAAGGCAAGAUUCGGUUACCUAACCCGAAGCUUGGCCUCUAUGUUGUGCAAAACUUUUUGAUUGAGAUUGCAGCAACACCAGUGAACCAGAGAACUCCACAGCGAUAACAAAACUACCUACCACAGCCAUACUUGCUAUAACAUCUUUUACUAUAUUUACAUUGAGUUUGAUCGAGCUGUGUAGACCCUUAGGAGCUUUUCAUAUGGUUAAAUUUAGAUAUUCACUUGCACACAUCUACCACAACAUUCAUCACCAAUCAUUAAAAUUGCUAAAAAUAUUAUCACUCACUGUCCCAAGUAUUGUUAUACUCUCUAUCUAAAAAGAUUCAAUGCAGAAGAGGCAUGGGUUAUGCAAAAAUAUACGAGGAAAUAAAAAGGGGCAAGUGCCCGGAACCUCGAAAAAGAAAGAAAAAUAGUGAGACGAGAGGUAAAAAUGGACUAGUGUCCGAAGUAGAAUUAGGGGUACAAAGACGCCCACUUGAGUGAAAAAAUGAACAAGUGUCCGACAGUAGAAUUAGGGGUAUCUAUUACCCACCUGAAAAAAAAGAGAGAGAAAAAGAUAGCCCAUGUUCUCCCAAAGCAAAGAUCAAAGAGGAGGAGAGAUAGCAAUAUGAGGAGCAAUGAGAAGUAAGUUUUAUUAUCACUUAUAUAUAUCUUCACCAUCACUAUCAUUUAUUCCAUCACACAUGCACAUCUUGAUUUAAUUAUAUGCUGAGUUCCUUUGGAUCCAUGGCUCGAUUAGACAACAUAUGUAUGAGCUGUUCUUCACUCCUAUGAGCUCCACUUAAAUGUUUCAUUAGCUAUAGGUAAGUGACAUUGUGGUAAGGAUCCACAAAAACCACAUAUAAAGAGACUUGAGAGAUCAUUGCUGGGAACUCUGAGUUUUAUUUUGAAAACUUAUGAAAAACUCUAGAACAAAGGUGAAGUAUAGACAAGAGGAAUAGUGCUUGACUUAAUUAUUUUGUAUUUCGAUUACUUAAAACUUAAGUGCAGACACUAAGCUCUUUAACCCUUCACUCUAAUCUGGAAGAAUUUUUUAUGUAAAAGCAUGUGUGCCUGUGAGGAAAGAUAACAUCGAAGCAACUUCUGAUUCGUCUAAGUUUAGCUAUUUGCUCAGGGACGAGCAAAGGGUAAGCUUGGGGGAGUUUGUUGACGGUCCUUAAGUACUAAAAUUAAUAAUCAAAUAAACAUGAAAAAGGAUCAAUAUGAAACAAACAUCUAGAAUUAGGGUUUUAUCUGAUAGAAUUCCCCGAGCUUUGGUGUUUAUCUAUUUCUGUAGGGGGUUAUCAGAGAAUAUGGAGAGAAGGCCCACAUGUCAUGUUUACAACGAGAUAAUUAUGUGCCGCGCAAUUUUCUUCAAUCUAGAAGAGUCCAGAAUCCACGGGAACGAACGAGAAGGGAAUCGGGCUCGGGGGCAUGGCGCCCGCCCACCCCCCUUGGGCGCCCGCGCUGGCCAGGAGUUGGACCAGGACUCUGCUUCGGGGCUAAACUCCACCGACCUAAAGGAUCAAUCUAAACCAUACAAUCAAUGUCGGUUUGAUCUGACGGCCCACAUUCACUUGAAGGGACUAUAAAACCAAGGCCUCUCCCCCCGUAGGAGAGAGGAGAAGAGAAGAAAUCAUUAUUCAGAGGUAGCCAUCAAAGUUAGGGGUUUAGAGCUUCUCUCCCACAGAGAAUUAGAAUUAGCUACUCCCUGAUCCUUCAAGUUUAGAGGUUUGAUUAGAUAGGAAUUAGAGAAGUAGAGCACUACGCUCUGGAUUCGGAUCUUCGGUAAUAAAGAUUGGUAUUAUUCAUAUCUUUCUCUAAUUCUUUGUUCUAAUUGCAUUAUGUCUCUAAUUAUUAUGUUCUUAGUUUGCUCUAGUUCUAUAUUUGAUAUAGUUCUAAUUGAUAUUGAGUUUAUGUAUAAGUUUGCAAAGCGCUUAACUCUUGACGCGAGGGAGUUAGGUGAUAGAUCACAUGUGAGCGUGGUGCUUAGAUGUUAUUUAUCUGCAAAUGUAUCCUAUUGGCCGGGUCAUGUGGUAGUUCGCGAUAGUGACAGCUUCGUUGAUUCUUAUAUAGUCCACCCUCCGUUGAUAGGACAGGCAGAACCGGUAUUGUGGAGUAAGUCUUGCGAUGCUCUGAUUUACUAUAUCAAUGUUCCUUAUACAUGAAUGAAGAGUCUUUUAUGCUAUAUAUGAUCUUGUAGAUAACUAGAGUAGAUUAUGACUUAGUAGUUAGUAGAUAACUUAGAAUCCAUUCUCUAGCUAAUCCGACAUCACCUACAUAUAUGAGGAGUAGUCUAUUUUCUAAUCGCUGUGUUAUUUAUCCCUUGAACUUAUAAUUCAUUAUCAUUAUCUUUAUGGUUUACCCCCUGCUAAAGUAAGUGACUGUGUGACGAGUUUCUCAUUAGUAAUCAUGUGCUUGCAAGUUUAUCUCUAGUCUAUGCCUUGAUAGAUUUUGCCCUUAAUUUAAUCUCCUUAGUUCUCUCGAGCAAAAUUAUAAAUAACGAUACCUGGAAUACUUAUCCUGGUGAAAUGCUACAAUGAGGUGUUUUAUCUGUGCGCUUGCGGAUAGAAUAGAUUAUUUUCUAGAGAGCCUUUACAUUUAUAAAUACCUUUGUACACUCUGGCACCAUAAUGGGGAUGACAACCUAGUAUCUAAGUGGUGUUAGCUAGUGUCAACAAUAGGCGUUGCCAGGAGCAGAUCGAUUUAUCCGAUAGGGACCCUCUCAAUUAGGAGACCACUUCCCAAAUUUUGAACUUUUAGUCCCGAUCGGUAAUACUAGCUUCCAUACUAAGUCUCCAUCGGCAAACUCCUUAGCUUUUACCUUCUUAUCAUACCUUCUAGCAACUCUCUUCUUAUUUUCUUCUAUACUCAUCAGAGCCCUUAGUCGAUGCCUUGCUAGAUCAUCCAACUCGUCUGUCAUCAAAGUAGCAUAAUCAUUGGCAGCCAAUUGAUCUUGUAAAGAUAGCCGCCUAGACCCAGUCUUAAUUUCCCAAGGUAACACUGCAUCAUGCCCAUACACCAAUUGAUAAGGCGAAACUUUGUUCGAUCCAUGACAAGCCAUCUGAUAUGACCAUAAAGCUUCAUUUAACAACGUGUGUCAUCUCCUAGGAUUUUCUUCAACCUUCCGUUUAAUGAGCUUGAUGAUUCCUUUGUUAGAUGCCUCGGCCUGCCCAUUAACUUGAGCAUAAUAAGGAGAAGAAUUUAAUACUUUAAUUCCCAUACCGACUGCAAAAUCAUCAAACUCCCCUGACGUAAACAUAGUACCCUGAUCGGUAGUAAUUGUUUGAUGAAUUCCAAAUCGGUAGAUAAUAUGCUCUUUCACAAAAUCAAUCAUAUUGGCCGAUGUAACUUUCUUCAAAGGAAUAGCUUCAACCCAUUUGGUGAAAUAAUCGGUGGCAACCAAAAUAAAUUUAUGUCCUUUGCUGGAUGGCAGAUAAAUCUGGCCGAUCAAGUCAAUAGCCCAUCCUCGGAACGGCCAAGGUUUAAUAAUGGGAUUCAUGGCCGAUGCGGGUACCCUUUGAACAUUGCCAAACUUUAGACAUCCUUGACACCCAUUGAAAUACUUAAAACAAUCCUCAAGUAUAGUCGGCCAAUAAUACCCAUUUCUUCUGAUCAUCCACUUCAUCUUAAAUGCCGACUGAUGUGCUCCACACACUCCCUCAUGGAUCUCUCCCAUCAAACUUCUAGCCUCAUCAUCACCUAAGCACCUAAGAAGAAUCCCAUCAAUAGUCCGAUAAUAUAACUCAUCUUCAAGGAGCACAUACUUGGUAGCUUGAAACCGAACACGUCUCUCAACUUUCUUGGACGGAUCCUUUAAAUAAUCAAAGAUUUCUUUUCUCCAAUCAUCGGCACUGAUUGCCGAUACUGUGUUUAUCAUGGGCUGAUAUCCUGAGGCAUGCUGAGCCAAUCGAUUAGCCUCUUCAUUAUGCAACCGAGGAACAUACUCUAAUCGGAAAUCCUUGAAUUCCGUUAACAGUUGCAUACUCCUUUCGUGAUAAGUUAUCAGGACUUCGCUUCGGCAUUCAUAGCUUCCAGCCAAUUGAUUUAUAACCAGCAUAGAAUCCCCAAAGAUUUCAACAGCAUCAGCAUGAACUUCCCUUAGUAUUUCCAAUCCCUUUAUCAAAGCUUGAUACUCAGCUUGAUUAUUUGUUGACGUGGCAACAAUCGGCAAGGAGAACUCAUACUUCUUUCCCCGAGGGGAAAUUAACACUAUGCCGAUCCCUGCCCCCGGUCACACGUGGAUCCAUCAAAGAAGAGCGUCCAAGGUACAAUUUCCAAAGUCUCCACUGUACCGCAAUGUUGAGUUACAAAAUCGGCCAUAAUCUGUCCCUUAACCGCUUUAGCCGAUUCGUAACGCAAAUCGAAUUCCGACAGUGCCAAAAUCCACUUACCGAUCCUACCACUCAUAAUCGGCAUAGACAGCAUAUAUCAGACCACGUCAUCUUUGCAUAUGACAGAGCAUUCUGCCGAUAACAAAUAGUGCCUCAACUUAAUAAAUGAGAAAUAGAGACACAAACAUAACUUUUCAAUGGCCGAAUAUCUGGUCCCAGCAUCAACCAAUCUCCUGCUUAAAUAGUAAAUCACACGUUCCUUCCCUUCAAAUUCCUGAAUUAAAGCCGAACCGAUGACCAUCCCAUCGGUAGACAAAUACAACCUGAAGGGCUUUCUUUGCUGAGGUGGAAUCAGAACUGGAGGAUUUACCAAAUAAUUCUUGAUUUCAUCUAAGGCCAAUUGUUGCUCUUUCCCCCAGACGAACUCUUGAGCGGCUUUCAACUUAAGUAAAGGACUGAAAGCACGAAUUUUACCAGACAAAUUAGAUAUAGACCUCCUAAUAAAAUUUACCUUGCCGAUCAAGGAUUGAAGCUCAGUCUUGUUGGUAGGAGCAACUAUUUUGUUGAUAGCAUCAAUGGAUCUCCAACUAACUUGAAUCCCCCUUUGAUGCACCAUGAAACCAAGGAAUUGUCCUGCCGAUACACCAAAUGCACACUUAUUGGGAUUCAUCUUUAAACCGUGCUUCCUUGUGCAUUCUAACAUCUUUCGCAAAUCGCCAAGAUGCUUUAUGAAGUCUCCAGACUUAACCACCACAUCAUCAAUAUAAAUUUCCACCAGCUUGCCGAUGAACUCAUGAAAUAUAAAAUUCAUAGCCCUCUGAUAAGUAGCACCAGCAUUUUUCAAGCCAAAGGUCAUGACUAUCCAUUCAAACAACCCAACAUGACCAGGACAUCUAAAUGCAGUCUUUGGAAUAUCCUCUUCAGCCAUGAAUAUCUGAUUGUAUCCUGCAUUGCCAUCCAUAAAGCUGAUGAUCUGAUGCCCAGCCGUAGCAACAACUAGUAGAUCAGCAACUGGCAUUGGAUAGCCAUCCAUCAGUGUAGCUUUAUUAAGAUUUCUGAAAACAAUGCAGACCCGAAGCUUCCUAUUUUUCUUGUAAACCGGAACAACAUUGGAAAUCCACUCGGCAUACCGACACUGCUGAAUAAAUUUAGCUUCAAUAAGUUUGGUUAUUUCAGCCUUAAUAUCAGGAAGAAUAUUAGGAUUACAUCGGCGAGCUGGCUGUUGAUGUGGCCGAAAUCCAGACUUGAUAGGCAACCGAUGUUCAACAAUCGAUCGGUCCAAACCAGGCAUCUCUGUAUAAUCCCAAGCAAAGCAAUCUUUAUAUUCUUUUAACAAAUCGGUUAAUUGCUGCUUACACUCAGAAUUUAACUUAGCUCUAAUAAAAGUAGGUCUAGGCUUAUCACCACUACCUAUAUCUACUUCUACCAAAUCAUCGGCCUAUGUGAAUCCCUGGCCCAAUUUUCCAUCAUCGGCGAACCUAUCCAUUAAAACCCUUCAUCAGAACUCACUGCUUGGACCGGUGGAAUUUCAUAAUCAGCAACUUUGAGAAAAUCCUUCUCCCAAAUCUCUCUCGAGAUACACCUAGUCCUUUCAUAAGUGUCUGCUUCUACCGAUGCAAUGACAUAAGAAGAAUCCCCCGGUACAAUCUCAAUCUUGUCACCUACCCACUGGACCAAGCACUGGUGCAUUGUAGAUGGGAUGCAACAAUUGGCAUGAAUCCAAUCUUUUCCACUGAUCACGAAGAAAGUUGUCGGCAAGGUUUUGCUGCCAAUGGUCAACUCAACGCAUAUUGCCCCCUUAACCAGAGACACAUUUCCCUCGAAGUCCUUUAACAUCAUAUCGGUCUUGGUCAAAUCUUGAUCCCCUUUUUCAAGCUUCCGAUAUACUGCGUAUGGCAUGAUGUUGAUAGCGGCUCCACCAUGAAUUAAUAUCUUGGUCAUUGGCUGACCAUCAACCCUUCCUUUGACAAACAAAGCUUUAAGAUGCUGCCUUUUGUUGAUAUUUGGUAACGCAAUAAGGAAAUGAUCCGCAAGCGCAUGGAUAUCGGUGAGCAUUUCACCCGGGAGGUUUUCCAGAGUAUCGUAUUUAUAUUUUUACCACUGGGAGAAAGGGUGCAUCUGACUAACCAAAUCUAUUGCUACUACCCCUUUAGGCUACAAAGAAUGUUUCUCGAUGUGAGUGAUGUAUAGAGAAGACUGCAACCGUAGUCUCGUUCUAACCUUUGUAAGGAUGAUCUACUGUUCUAUUGGGAAAGCUUACGAAAUCUAGACACCACAAAGGAUGUUUGACCCGCACCUAUAAACCUACCCGUCCUGCUAACAAGAUAUGGGAUACAAAGGUAACUCGGAAAUGUCACGUUCCUCGCUACUACCACGGUCCAGCUAGUCAGGGGAUAUCUAUGAGUACCCUAGCCUAAACACCACGUUUAGGCUAGCAAUGAUUACUCUAAUACUCAACCGGAAGAGGAUUAAAGUAAACUUAUAAACCAAAGAACAAUAAAACAAGAACUUACUAGAAUUAGAAGUCAAAUUACUGAAGAAUCUUAGAAGCAAGCCUCGUGUUAUGAGACUUGAUCCCACAGGUACAACUCGGAGUAGACACCGACAGGCCGGCCUUCCUCCGAUCUACACCUCCACUCUAUCUCUCUCAAUCUAGUAGAAACUAGAAGAUCUAUUUCUACUUACAUUGGUUGCUGUGCCUAAAAAGAAAUAUUAUUUAGAGAAGAGGUUUUCCUUCGAGGGCACCCCUCAAUCUCUAUGAUAAUUUCUUGUCUUCUCCAGGGGCCAGGGGGGGUCUCCUUAUAUAGUCCUCCACCUCUAUGCGUUUUUGGGUCGGUAGGCGAUGUGGUACUACAUUAUCCUUGAUCCAUUAGGUCGGUGGAACAUCGUGUGCGAAGAGAGUCCCGAACGGAGUCCAGGACAGGGCGGGCGCCCAGGGAAAGAGGGCGGGCGCCCUGGGCCUGGCCCCUUUCGGCCUCUGCUUUCUUCCCGUGGCUUCUAGAGUCUUCUAGAUGAUAGAAAAUUGCACGGUGCGUUGAUAUCUCUAUGUAAUCCCGACGUGUGGGCCUUUCUUCCUUAUUUCCUGAUAACCCCCUGCAGAAAUAGACAAACACCAAAACUCGUGGAAUUCUGUCAGAUAAAACCCUAAGUCUAGGUGUUGGUUGCAUUUGGAUCCUUUUCUUUAUUUAUUUGAUGAUUAUAUUUGGUACUUAAGGACCGUCAACAACUCCCCCAUGCUUACCUCUUGCUCGUCCCUGAGCAAGGAUGAACUCAAGAGUUUCUGCAGUGGUUUCAUGCCUUAAAAGUACACACGCAUUGAAGCAAGAUCUCAUCUCUGAGUUAGAAUAAACUGUUAAGACUUAAAACUUACUAAUUUUACCUUUCACCAUGGGGCUUGUAACCGUCACUUGUGUCUUGAGCAGUUAAAAGAUAGAACGGUCAAGUCAAGCACCAUGUCUCUUAUUUUUGAUCAGCUAUAGCUCUGGAGUUUUUGUAGAUUUUCAAAUAAAACUCAGAGAUUCCUUAUAUGACUCUCUCAAAUCUCUCUUUUGUGGUAUUUCUGGAUCCUUACCAGGGCAGUAAUGAUAUAUGCCUUCUCUCAAAGUAUGUGGUAUUUUUGGUAUAAUGCAUAGUGAUAUUGCCUUCUCUCUCACCCUACUCUAAUAAGGUUUUGAUAUAUGGAGCUCAUAGGUGGGAGAUAGAUAAUACAUACUUACAAGACAUUUAUUGCAUAGUCAAACCAUGGAUCCAGAGAAACAAGUCAAUAAGUCAAAUCAAGAUGUGCAUGUGUGGCGAGUGAAUGGUGUAUGGUCAUGAUGGUGAUAACAAUGGUGAAAGUCUAAUUCUACUUUUGCUCUUUUGAGGGGAUACAUACCUUUCUUGCACUUUGAAGCUUUUUCGGGAGAAUGAGAUGCUUUAUAUUUUAUUUUUCUUUCCUCUCAGGUGGGUAUCUUGUACCCCUAAUUAUACUGUCGGACACUUGUCCAUUUUUACUUCUCGUCUCACUUUUUCUUUUCUUCGAGGUUCCGGGCACUUGCCCCUUUUUAUUUUCUCGUAUAUUUUUUUCCCUUUUUUCUUUCUCUUUUUUUAGAGCUCUCAUCUCCUGAAAUAAUGUAGCAAGUGGUAGUAACCAAAAUAACUGGAGCAUUUAUUUCACAGGGAAUAACAGGGAUAGGAAAAUGUUUUUGGCUGUUCUCUCCAGGAUUAGGAGUAGAAUAAUUUUAGGUGAAUCUGGAGUUGGAAAUGAGUGGAUAUAUGUGGAUGGUACUUCUGGAGUAGAAGUAACAUGUAUGAGUGAACGUGCAAGUGAAUCUUGAUUUUAACCACAUGACAAGCUCCUAAGGGUCUACACAGCUUGACCACACUCAAUGCUCAUAAGCAGUAAAAAGUAAAUAUGUGGCUCAAAGUCUAGCAAGCAUGUAUAUAUGGCUGUGGUAGGAAUUUAAACUCUCAUCAUAUAGGAACUCAUCAUGUGAUAUUUUAAAGAUUUUUCAAAGAUAAAAUUCUCCAGAAUUCUAGCAUCUCUAGGAACAGAUAAACAGCAGCUCAACCUUCCCAUAUUGUAUCCGCUAACAACUUAGACUUUAGAUCAAGUACUCUUCCCACAAGUUUAGGUUUAGAGCAAGCUUUAAAUUAUAACAGUUAUGCCUAAACUUGAGAGAGAUUUCAAUAUUUAGAACUAGUCAUAGAAGAGCAACUAUUCAUCAUUUCCAUGUGAGAGCUUAUCAUGAGGGUUCAUAGCAAACUUUAUUUAUUUAUUUAUUUAGCAAACUAAGCAAAGAUAUAUAUAAAAGCACAAAAUCUUUAUUUGGGUUUUUAUGAUUAUGCAUCGUUUUAUUAUUUGAGUAAAGUAUAAAGCGAGUAGAAACACUUAGCUGGAUAAAUGGGGGUGCUCUCCCCCAAGCUAGAUUUUGACGUAAUUUCUUCAAAUGUAGCUAGUAGGUGAUGGAGGUGUAUUUGAAUGUCGGUAGCACCCUGACAGCGAUUAGGAUGUCCUCCGUCUGCUAGUCUUCUUUGAUCCUUGAAUUCUGUGGAGCUCAAAUAGACAACAAAGCUUUGUGGAACUGGUUAAGUGUUAGCAUAAAUAUCUAGCCUUUAUCAUGUUGAGCCUCCUCAAUAAAUGUUACUUAUUUAGCAGGAUCAUGCACAUAUUAUUUUUAUAUUUUUAUUCUAAGAUGAAAACUUAUUUAUUUUAUUUUUAUGCCACCACAGUGAAUGUACUUAUGGGUUUUAUGCCAUGAGCAUACUCACAUGGGGCUUACUAUUUUUUAACAUUUUUAUUUUCUUUUCAAGAUAGCAUGAACCUGAUUAACUAAGGAAACUAUAAUUGAAUAAUUGAAAGGAAAAGGAUAACUACCAAGUUUACCUCUUGGCAAGGCGUUCAGUGUUUUUUAGUCCUCCGAAUGGGACUCCUUGUGUUUUCAGUCGUCCUAGGAUUCGCUAGGUGGCGUAGUCGGUGAUUCCAGCGGCGCCUCUUCUUCGUGUAUAACUAUCUUCUCUUUCCACACCUGACUCGGUGCUACGGUCUCCUCAGGACAGUUCUGUUCAAGCUGUAUGUCUUCCGACCUUACCACUUCUCCUUCGUAAUCUGCUCAUCCGUCCAUGACGAUUUGCCUCCUCUGGUUGCGGUUGCGUUAUCUUCUUCUUGUCCUGACCUGCUUAGAAUCUUCAACUAUAUAGUUAGAAUCAUUAGAGUAGUGGCGUACCUUCUUAGAGGGGAAGUGCAUGUGGACUUCUCCGGUUCCAAUAUAGAUGAUGGCUUUGAUAGUGUUGAGGAACAGUCUUCCAAGGAUGGUGGGUGGAUCGUACUCGUCUUGUCUCAUGUCAAUGAUCUGAAAAUCAUUUGGAGCUGAAUAUAUAUUGGUUGUAGGGGCAUGGUUCCAUGCAGGAGCUGAUAAGUGACUGCGACCAUUAUGUUGUCGUCAGAUCCGGUGUCGUAGAGUGUCUUCUAAAAAGAGUAUCCAUUGAUUGUGCAUUCGAUGCUUGGAACACCAGGGUCGUCCUUCUUGAUCAAGAAAGGUGACUUGAGUCGACGAUCUUGACCUCCUUGAGCUGCAGUGACUAUCUUAGCUGACUCGGUCCAGAUUUGCUUGUUCCUGUUCCUCCUGUUGGUCCUCUUCCUUGGUUCAUGUCGGGAUUGCUCUGAAGUUUGUGUAGUCUUGUUCUCGAAGGAAAGUCUCCUUCUUCCCCUUGAUGUAGAGACUGAUCUUGGCAUCAUUAGCGUAGAUGACAGCUCUAGUGUUUAGGAAUGGCCUCCCUAAGAUGAUGGGUGCCCUCUCCUCAGUACCAGUCUCUAUCACCACGAAGUUUGCUGGAGCGUACAAGGUACCAACUCGGACACAGAGGUUCUUCAAUAUUUCCUUUGGGAAACUAAGUGCCUGAUCUCCAUUGUGUUUGUGCUCGUAGAUCCCGGCUCUUCACUUGGUGGAAUCUGGGAGUUGUAAAACUCCUCCGUGUUUUGCUUGAAGUGUACCUGUUCAUAGAGACAAGGCAGAGAUCAAGUGCAUAGGCCCUGUUGGUGGAAAACACCAACAGAACCAGAAGUGUAAUUGUUCUUCUCUAACCUUAAGCAUAGUGAGCAAGACAAAGUUGAUGGAUAAUAAGAUCAUGAGUGUAGUAUUUAAAACAUUUGUCAGAUCAGAUUGAUCGACCUAAUGUAAAGAUAAUCUAUCUAUGUAUAUGUCUUAUUUCUUUAUAUCUUCCCAAAGAUUGAAUGUGCAACAUUUUAGCUUAUAUGAUUGGGAGUGUGAGAUCACGAAGGUAUCACUAAGAACAAAGAUUAAAGGACUAAACAUGUUGAAUUAAUUUAGUUGGUUAAUUUGGAGUUACAGAUCAUACAUGUAGCUAAAAGUGCAUUAUCUUCUUGAUUAAAAGAUAGGACCUCAGCUAUAGAAAAGGGUUGGUUUUGACCUAUUGCAAUCAACUCCGGACUCAGAUCAUAAUUAGGGGCAGGACUUGUUGACUCCCAUGGUCUAUGGUUGGUCUCUGAAGGUGCAAGAAAUUCAAUAAUAGGUAUGGAAUUUAAGUUAUCCAUAAAGAUAAAAAUAAAAAGAUAAAGGAAAAAAAGUAUAAAAGUAUAAUACAAGAUAAUAGCAAGAUUCAAAGUUAUCUCAGCAAACCGUCUUUCUCCCCGGCAACGGUGCCAGAAAUGCUUGUUGAUAUUUGGUAACGCAAUAAGGAAAUGAUCCACAAGCGCACGGAUAUCGGUGAGCAUUUCACCCGGGAGGUUUUCCAGAGUAUCGUAUUUAUAUUUUUACCACU